UACGUAGGGUGCGAGCGUUAAUCGGAAUUACUGGGCGUAAAGGGUGAGUAGGCGGAUAUAUAAGUUAGAUGUGAAAUGCCUGAGCUUAACUUAGGAAUGGCAUUUAAGACUGUAUGUCUAGAGUUAGUGAGAGGGGUGUAGAAUUCCAAGUGUAGCAGUGAAAUGCGUAGAGAUUUGGAGGAAUACCGAAGGCGAAGGCAGCGCCCUGGUGCAUAACUGACGCUGAGUCACGAAAGCGUGGGUAGCAAACAGG
rnacentral:rRNA from 1 species